CAGCAGCCGCGGUAAUACGUAGGGGGCGAGCGUUGUCCGGAAUUACUGGGCGUAAAGGGCGUGUAGGCGGCCUGUUAAGUCAGGGGUGAAAGACCGGGGCUCAACCCCGGGGGUGCCUCUGAAACUGGCGGGCUUGAGUGCUCUAGAGGGCAGUGGAAUUCCCGGUGUAGCAGUGAAAUGCGUAGAGAUCGGGCGGAACACCAGUGGCGAAGGCGGCUGCCUGGGGAGUCACUGACGCUGAGGCGCGAAAGCUAGGGGAGCAAACAGGAUUAGAUACCCUGGUAGUCCUAGCCGUAAACGAUGAGCGCUAUGUGUGAGGGGUAUCGACCCCCCUCGUGCAGUAGCUAACGCAUUAAGCGCUCCGCCUGGGGAGUACGGCCGCAAGGUUGAAACUUAAAGGAAUUGGCGGG
rnacentral:rRNA from 1 species